UACAGAGGGUGCGAGCGUUAAUCGGAAUUACUGGGCGUAAAGCGCACGUAGUCGGCUUUGCAAGUCGGUUGUGAAAUCCCCGGGCUCAACCUGGGAACUGCAUCCGAGACUGCAUUGCUAGAGUAUGGGAGAGGAAAGCGGAAUUUCUGGUGUAGCAGUGAAAUGCGUAGAUAUCAGAAGGAACAUCAGUGGCGAAGGCGGAUCUCUGGGCCUUGCCUGACGCUGAGGCGCGAAAGCUAGGGGAGCGAACAGG
rnacentral:rRNA from 1 species